UACGGAGGGGGCGAGCGUUAUUCGGAAUUAUUGGGCGUAAAGGGCGCGUAGGCGGCCCGGUAAGUCAAAGGUGAAAUCCCUCGGCUCAACUGAGGAACUGCCUUUGAAACUGUCGGGCUUGAGGCCGGGAGGGGGUAGCGGAAUUCCCAGUGUAGCGGUGAAAUGCGUAGAUAUUGGGAGGAACACCGGUGGCGAAGGCAGCUACCUGGACCGGUUCUGACGCUGAUGCGCGAAAGCGUGGGUAGCAAACAGG
rnacentral:rRNA from 1 species